UACGGGGGGGGCAAGCGUUGUUCGGAAUUACUGGGCGUAAAGGGCUCGUAGGUGGCCAACUAAGUCAGACGUGAAAUCCCUCGGCUUAACCGGGGAACUGCAUCUGAUACUGGAUGGCUUGAGUUUGGGAGAGGGACGCGGAAUUCCAGGUGUAGCGGUGAAAUGCGUAGAUAUCUGGAGGAACACCGGUGGCGAAGGCGGCAUCCUGGACCAAUAUUGACGCUGAGGAGCGAAAGCCAGGGGAGCAAACGGG
rnacentral:rRNA from 1 species